AACGAACGCUGGCGGCAUGCCUAACACAUGCAAGUCGAACGAGACCUUCGGGUCUAGUGGCGCACGGGUGCGUAACGCGUGGGAACCUGCCCUUAGGUUCGGAAUAACUCCCCGACAGGGGUGCUAAUACCGGAUAAUGUCUUCGGACCAAAGAUUUAUCGCCUUUGGAUGGGCCCGCGUUGGAUUAGCUAGUUGGUAGGGUAAAAGCCUACCAAGGCGACGCUCCAUAGCUGGUCUGAGAGGAUGAUCAGCCACACUGGGACUGAGACACGGCCCAGACUCCUACGGGAGGCAGCAGUGGGGAAUAGUGGACAAUGGGCGAAAGCCUGAUCCAGCAAUGCCGCGUGAGUGAUGAAGGCCUUAGGGUUGUAAAGCUCUUUUACCCGGGAUGAUAAUGACAGUACCGGGAGAAUAAGCUCCGGCUAACUCCGUG
rnacentral:rRNA from 1 species